UAGGGAAUCUUCGGCAAUGGACGAAAGUCUGACCGAGCAACGCCGCGUGAGUGAAGAAGGUUUUCGGAUCGUUAAACUCUCUUGUUAGAGAAGAACAAGGACGUUAGUAACUGAACGUCCCCUGACGGUAUCUAUCCAGAAAGCCACGGCUAACUACGUGCCAGCAGCCGCGGUAAUACGUAGGUGGCAAGCGUUGUCCGGAUUUAUUGGGGGUAAAGCGAGCGCAGGCGGUUUCUUAAGUCUGAUGUGAAAGCCCCCGGCUCAACCGGGGAGGGUCAUGGGAAGCUGGGAGACUUGAGUGCAGAAGAGGAGAGUGGAAUUCCAUGUGUAGCGGUGAAAUGCGUAGAUAUAUGGAGAAACACCAGGGGAGAAGGCGGCUCUCUGGGCUGUACCUGACGAUGUGGAUCGAAAGCGUGGGGAGCAAACAGG
rnacentral:rRNA from 1 species